UCAAGACUGCAUAAACUCAUGUCGCCCACGUCAACGACCACAAUUAAUCUACAUAAAAGCUAGACAUGCCAAUUUCUGCCAGACUUCCGAAAAUGCUACGCAACAGCUGAGGUGAAAUUAUUCCAUUUUGGAGGCUGUUGACUAAUCAAUAGUUUGUAAACGAGAAAAGCGUCGGAGAUAUUUGGGUGUAAACCGGGCAGAAAAAUGAAUAGGCCCUUCGAUUCAUCGUCAUCCGUCAGCUGCACUCGGGCCAGCUGUUGGGUGCAAAUGAGCUGGAUUCGCAUUCGUUUCUGUGAAGGUUGACUUAUCUGCCAACAUGUGCACAUCGUAGUCAGCAGCAUGGAAAUCACUCAGCUUCAGCAAGAGAUCGAUAUUCAAGGUAAAUAACGUCAACGCUGUUGUGCAACGCCUACAGUUUAUAGACUGGAUCGAAUCCGACAGUGAAAUCGCUUGGAUUCAAGAGUGCCUGCUGCCAGAGAAGGAUCGUGUUUGUAUUUUUGUCACAAUGCACUUCGUCGUGUCAUUAAAGUCGCUCCUACUUGUCAUCCUGAUUAUCAAGCAGUUUGAAGGAGGUCAAGGGAUGGCUAUUGACCAUGUGGCGAAUGCUAAGUGCAAUGGAGUCUACGUUGGGCGUCGCUGUGGCAAUGAUGUUUGUGGGAAAAGCAUCGGAUGUACUCAAUUCCGAUGUAACCUGCAAAAUCUCAAGUGUAAGGUGGACUUUGCUCAACGGAUCUUCAAAAAGGCGUGAGUUCACCGUAUAAAGGAACGAUAUUCAGAUCCACAGUCGUGUGGGGAUCGGCACUAAAAGGCUUUGAAGGAAAUGCUGGAAACAACUCGUAUUUUAUGACAACAACUAUACCAAGCGAGGAUUAAAUGUAGUUGAAUUUAGUCUUAAAUUCGGUCAUUAAUCAGCUAUGUGGUUGUUUUGACUCAGUUUUGCAUUUGUAUGUCUGUUUACCGAGUUCUUCAGACGUAAAAACCAAGACUUUCUGAUUUAACGACAAAAGGUAUAUUUCAGGGUUUAUUAUUUGUGACAGAUAUAAUAAGAGAGCCCAAGCACUUAAAAGAUGAUCUUCUUUGAAUAUUAAGAAUGAUUGGGGGAAUUCAGAUGGUUCCAGGGAAAGUCAACAAGAGAAAAAUCCAAACAAAGCGUUCUUGUGUCAUAUUUGACGGCAAAUACAAUUCUGCUUGACUCGUUUUUGUUUUGUUUAAUCGGAUUUGGUUUUAGGCCAGAGUUGGUGGAAUAACAGCUAGUCUAGGUUGUUGAGUGGUUACAUCCGUGUACGGGAUUGCACUCACAGUCUUUGUGUAUCAACACUCAUUCAGCGCGCUCGAUAUACUCCUCCCUCGCGUUUAGGAGGUCAUGCGGAUCGACCUCGGUAACGUUAUACAUGAAGUGCCCAGACCAGGGUAAGAGGCCAUACACGAUUAAAUUUUGAAAAUGAAAUUGAAGAAUUCGAAAGCAACAGACACAUGCUUCUUGCCUUUCCUUCACAGAACUUAGUUAAUGGACAGAUUUGUUCCUACAUUCAACCAUUUGAAUUAUUUUCAACGGUUUCAACUUUCCUUCAGGACUUUAUACUGGUUCCUGUCCCAUUUACGUAGUCUCCGGGCGUCUUGUAGGCGCCCUCCGAACGCAAGGACCGGUAGCUGGUAGCCACUUUUGUUUUCUUAGGAAGGUUAGGGGAAAUUAUAAUAAAAUGGGCGUAUCUUAAUCGUUGCGCAUGAGUUUUUCGUCUGGGAAGGUUGGGGCAAUUAUCAGAAAAUGAGGUACACAAACUUUUAAGUAUAAGGCUCAGCAAAAUUGCUUUCCUGACAAACUUGCAUGGCAGCUCUGUUAGAAGAGCGUCAUGCUUAGAGGGAAAAACCCAAGGGUUCGAAUCUAUAUAUAGCCAUUUUUUCUUGGUGGGGAAUUAGUUAGUUGGAUGAUGUUUUUAUAAUAGGAAAGUAAAGCCCGACAUUUACCUUAGCACUUCAGUUUCUAAGUGUCCACUAAAUUGAUCGAGCAUGCGGUUAACCACACCCAUUAUGAUAAUUACCCAUUACCUUCCUAGAGUAACGAAUCCCACAGAAUCCUGCCCGGUGUAUGUAAAUCAAAACGAUGCUCACCCGAUAGACAAAAUCAAGCAGGAGCUGAUAGCACAUUUUGCUUUUUCUUCUACUAAGUUACCGAAAAUAACUUCACCAUAAA